rnacentral:misc_RNA from 1 species
UCUCCGUUGGUGAACCAGCGGAGGGAUCAUUACCGAGUCUUCGCACUCAAAUAACCCUUCUGUGGACCUAAAUAAAACCGUUGCCUCGGCGGGCGGCCCCACCUGUGGGCCGGACAGCCCGGUCGCCUCCAGGCGCCGGCGCCAGCCGCUGGCCCAAAAUAAAAACUCUAGUAACCUUUACCUUCUGAGUUUUAACGCAAAUAAAGUCAAAACUUUCAACAACGGAUCUCUUGGCUCUG